AGAGCCUGGAGUACAGGUGUUAGAGUAGAGUAGAGCCUGGAGUACAGGUGUUAGAGUAGAGUAGAGCCUGGAGUACAGGUGUGAGAGUAGAGUAGAGCCUGGAGUACAGGUGUGAGAGUAGAGUAGAGCCUGGAGUACAGGUGUGAGAGUAGAGUAGAGCCUGGAGUACAGGUGUGAGAGUAGAGUAGAGCCUGGAGUACAGGUGUUAGAGUAGAGUAGAGCCUGGAGUAUAGGUAUUACAGUACAGUAGAGAGUAGAGUACAGUAGAGCCUAGAGUACAGAUAUCAGAGUAGAGUACAGAUAUCAGAGUAGAGAGUAGAGUACUGAUAUCAGAGUAGAGUACAGAUAUCAGAGUAGAGUACAGAUAUCAGAGUAGAG